rnacentral:rRNA from 1 species
UACGUAGGGGCUAGCGUUGUCCGGAAUCAUUGGGCGUAAAGAGCGUGUAGGCGGCCCGGUAAGUCCGCUGUAAAAGUCAAAGGCUCAACCUUUGAAUGUCAGUGGAUACUGCCGGGCUAGAGUCCGGAAGAGGCGAGUGGAACUCCUGGUGUAGCGGUGGAAUGCGCAGAUAUCAGGAAGAACACCAACGGCGAAGGCAGCUCGCUGGGACGGUACUGACGCUGAGACGCGAAAGCGUGGGGAGCAAACAGG